AGUGAACGCUGGCGGUAGGCCUAACACAUGCAAGUCGAACGGCAGCACAGUAAGAGCUUGCUCUUACGGGUGGCGAGUGGCGGACGGGUGAGGAAUACAUCGGAAUCUACUUUUUCGUGGGGGAUAACGUAGGGAAACUUACGCUAAUACCGCAUACGACCUACGGGUGAAAGCAGGGGAUCUUCGGACCUUGCGCGAUUGAAUGAGCCGAUGUCGGAUUAGCGAGUUGGCGGGGUAAAGGCCCACCAAGGCGACGAUCCGUAGCUGGUCUGAGAGGAUGAUCAGCCACACUGGAGCUGAGACACGGUCCAGACUCCUACGGGAGGCAGCAGUGGGGAAUGUUGGACAAUGGGCGCAAGCCUGAUCCAGCCAUACCGCGUGGGUGAAGAAGGCCUUCGGGUUGUAAAGCCCUUUUGUUGUGAAAGAAAAGCAGCAGGUUAAUACCCCGCUGUUCUGACGGUACCCAAAGAAUAAGCACCGGCUAACUUCGUG
rnacentral:rRNA from 1 species